rnacentral:lncRNA from 1 species
UCUACUUUUCACACCGGAAAAAUCCAUGGAAAAUCUAAAUCUCACGCGUACCAAGGCGCGGGCGUGCGCUAGUAUGUAAAAAAUGAACUUUAGCGGACGAUUGUACGCAAGCUUGCAAAGAAUAAUUGUGUCAAAACUGCUGAUCCUGAUUCUAUCGUUGAAAUCGAACACUGUUGUUCUCACGGGAACGAGGCGCUUCGGUUCGUUACCUACUAUACGUAAUGCGUUCUAGACUUCCAUAGAAUGAAACUAAAAUGCCAAUCAUUCGACAUUAGGACUGCGAUCCCGGCACACGCACGACAACUCGAGAAAGAAGCUUUUGUCAAGAUGAAAUUCUUUGGGAAUAGUUACUGGGAUCUCCUCUGAGUAUGAUAUUGUUACAUAAUAAUACUGAGGGGAAGUCCCACUAAUUGUUCCCGUCAUCGCAUCGCCCGGUUGAAGAUUGAAGAAGAAGAUUUUUUUUAAUAAUUGAACACCACAUGUAAAAGUCAGCCGAGCUUAGCAUAUUAUUAUGUUUUUGCUACUUCUAUGAUAGAACGAAGGUCUGCGACAGUCAGACCUUACCUUAUGAACGCUGCAAGUUUGUCGGCCCACGCUCCUACCAUAGAAUAUCGUGAGGAAUGGUGUCUCCAGGUCCUUAGCUUCGAGGCCAUUCUUCGCGAGAGACCUUGAAAGAUAAGUAUUUAUUUGAAGUUUAUACUGUAUUCAUUAAGAUCGUUAUGAGCCUAUUUUAACGGUCCUCGCUCCUAACAUAAUAUGGAGCUUAGACCCACGCUGUUUCAAUGUGGGUGGGCGAAGUUAAGGUGAUAAUGUUAACAUUUUUUUAAUAUUACUUAUUAUUAACUUUAGAAAUAUUUUUGUAAAAGUUUGUAGUUAGUGUAUGUAUCUCAGUAGGUAAAGAUGUAGUUUCUAAUGAUAAAAAUAUUUUUGAAAUCGGUCGUGUGGUUUUUGAGUUAACCUUUAAGUAUCGACUUGUGGUCUGACAGACACUUUGAUUGUUCAAAAAGUCUAGUUACGUAUGUUAGCGAUGACCAAUCCUCUCCAGCUCCUCUCUACCCCUCGGGCUGACGCCCUGAAGAGUUCGUGGAGAGUGGGAGUAUCGGUGCGUGACUUUUAUAAGAUCGCAAGUGGCCUGUCAGACCCCCCCCCCCCACUCCCUAGUUUUCCAUCUAUGAUUAAAACUAUGAAAACGAAUCGGACAAUGCAGUCAGUAAACUUGCCACGUUGACAUGAUUUGUAUCGUCAUUAAGUUUGUAUGAGUUUAUUUUGUAUUCUUUUUCUCAAAAAUUUCAUUUUGUUAUUUCAGAAAUUGAUCCGAUGCUUCGCGUCAUUGUCAAGUUCCGCGUGAAAGACUGAUGAGAAUGGAAAUUAACGAUUACCAUAACUCUAUAAGUUUACUGCUCACGGUGUCUCGGUCACCACACUCCCCAACAAAGAUGAGUGGACACUAUCCUCUACGCGUAUGUCGGCAUCCCGGAUGGAAAACCAACCACCUUCUCCACGUACAAGACAUACAGUUUGUCAAAAUUGAAAAGUGCAAAAACUCAAGCCGCCUGGAAGCUAUUAUUGAUACUGCUACGUGACAUGCAUG